AUUGAACGCUGGCGGCAGGCCUAACACAUGCAAGUCGAACGAGUGGCGGACGGGUGAGUAAUGUCUGGGAAACUGCCCGAUGGAGGGGGAUAACUACUGGAAACGGUAGCUAAUACCGCAUACCAUCGGAUGUGCCCAGCUGGGAUUAGCUAGUCGGUGGGGUAACGGCUCACCUAGGCGACGAUCCCUAGCUGGUCUGAGAGGAUGACCAGCCACACUGGAAGUGAGACACGGUCCAGACUCCAACGGGAGGAAGCAGUGGGGAAUAUGGCACAAUGGGCGCAAGCCUGAUGCAGCCAUGCGGCGUGUAUGAAGAAGGCAUUCGGGUUGUAAAGUACUUUCAGCGAGGAGGCGUUACUCGCAGAAGAAGCAACGGCUAACUCCGUGCCAGCGGCCGCGGUAAUUC
rnacentral:rRNA from 1 species